GGCAUUUUUUCACCAGUGUUAUCUGGUCCUGAGGUGAAGCUACUCUGUGUUGAAGAUGGCUACAGACACCCAGGUUUGCAAGUAGUCAGUGGGGGGUUACAGCCCAGAGAUGGAGUGAGGGCUGGGGUGCCAGCUUAGGAAUUGCCAGGGGUGUUUUGAAGGUAGUAUGGGUGGAAAGCAGUGUCCAGGAGCCCCCUAAAUGCCUGUGAAGGCAUCCACUGACUUUUCAGAUGUGCCACUUAAGUUUUCCUCUCAUUUACCCAGAUAUUCCGUGUGAUUACAACUGCAGUCUUUGGCUGCAGGCAGUGACCCUGGGUGGUUUGCCAAAAGAGAAGGGAGACUCUUUCAGCUCUCCCUAUCUGUCUGGGUGACUUUGGUUAGGGUUUCUUUACCAUGUCAGAAGGACAGGGUGUAAAGCAGAGUUGAACAGAAAAGAGGCCAGAGGAGCAGAGCAAGAAGGUGGGUCAUCACCUGACAUCAGCACAAAGAUGUGGCUUUUAGCUCCACAUUUAUUUGAUGUGUUAAGGAUUUUGUUGGUUUGGUUUGGUUUUUAUUUGUUUUCAGAUACAGAGCCCUGGUCCCAGGAGGCUCUAGGCACUGGAGGGGAGGUGAUCUGGGUGAGUACUGGUGAGCAAGGGGUUCUGCCACCUUCUAACAGACAGUCCAAUGCUUCAGGGACCCUGUCGGUAAGAGGUCCAGGAGAGAGAAUGUGUGCAGCCUCAGAGGGCUGGAGCCACCUGCCAAUUAGGUGUGAUGGUCUUCAGCUGUCCUGGUGAGUAAUCCC